UGGUCCCACCUGACCCCAUGCCGAACUCAGAAGUGAAACGCCGUAGCGCCGAUGGUAGUGUGGGGUCUCCCCAUGUGAGAGUAGGGAACUGCCAGGCAU
rnacentral:rRNA from 1 species